CAUCAUGGCCCUUAUGCCCAGGGCGACACACGUGCUACAAUGGCAUAUACAAUGAGACGCAAUACCGCGAGGUGGAGCAAAUCUAUAAAAUAUGUCCCAGUUCGGAUUGUUCUCUGCAACUCGAGAGCAUGAAGCCGGAAUCGCUAGUAAUCGUAGAUCAGCCAUGCUACGGUGAAUACGUUCCCGGGUCUUGUACUCACCGCCCGUCACACCAUGGGAGUUGAUUUCACUCGAAGCCGGAAUACUAAACUAGUUACCGUCCACAGUGGAAUCAGCGACUGGGGUGAAGUCGUAACAAGGUAACCGUAGGAGAACCUGCGGUUGGAUCACCUCCUUUCUAG
rnacentral:rRNA from 1 species